GAGGGUAUAGCUCAAUGUUAGAGCACCUGCUUAGCAUGCACAGGUGGUGGGUUCAAUUCCCAGUAGCUCCA
rnacentral:tRNA from 1 species